UUAGAACUUCAAAAUAUGAAUUUUGAGGGGUCUCAAAUUAGCUCAUAAGACAUGGUAUUUAUAUGUAGAUAAAAUUUGUUUCAAAAUAUGGCAAAAAUAUAAGUCAAUUUAAAGGAAGAAACUUUUAAUAAUACAUUCAUAUAGCAAAAUUAUGAAAGUGGUACAAAAAUGGCAAUUUCUCUUAUCUAUUGAUGGGUAACGAGCUGUCUCAACAUUUGGUGGCUUAAAACAGCCAUUUUAUUUUGCGCAUGGUUUUGUGGGACAGGAAUUCAGGAAGGGCUCAGUGGGUAAUUUCUGUUUGAUUCACUUGGGGUCCACUAGGGCAACAGGAUCCACUUCCAAGAUGGCGUCUUCACUCACAUAUCUGGAACCUCGGUGCUCCUUGUCCUUCACGCUCCAUUUGGUGCCUUAUUUUCCAGGCCCUCUUCCCUCAGGUAGCCUGGGCUUUCUCACAGCAUGGUGGCAUCAGGGUUGUAGGAUUUCUUACAAGGCACUGACUUGUAGAAAGUUUUCAGGAGCUCCGAAUGAGGAGAUUCAAGGGCUCUGACGACCAACCGUCGGCUGUCCCAGUACGUCACUUCUUCCACAUUCUAAUGGUCAGAGUAGUCACUAAGGCCAGUCCAGGUUCGCGGAAGGAAAAUUAGAUUCCACGUCUCUAUGGGAGGACUAGCCACACUAAGCCACUGCGCUGGUUUAGAACUGUCUGAAGUCCCUCCUAGAGGUCGUGUGUUUGAUUCUGCAUCUCCGUGAUUUGUGAAUCUUGCAUCAUUUAAAUUCAGCCUUACACACUGAUGCCUUUGGUGCCGUCCCAAUAUUUAGGUAGCAAACUCGUAGUGGGUAGAGAUUCAGGCUUAAGCUUCCAGCCUGGCUCUGAGGAGAACUGUCUGGGGCUCCCUGCCCUCUUCCCCAUGGAUGAGACUCUUCCCAGCCUUGGGCAAACACAGCGGGGAGCUGGCACCAUCUCCCGCUAGACACCUCCUCCUUUUCCUCUUGCCCUUACCAUGACUCCCGAGUUAUUCUCAGAAGUAAAAGCUUUCCACGCCUGCUCUUCUCUCCUGCAGCCAGGAGUGCAAAUUUAGAUAUUGGAGCUGCUCAGGCAGAAAAAUGGCCCUGGAAUCAGGGAAGCAGAAACCUGCAGCUGCCACGAAAGGACCGCGGAGAUGAAGACCCGGAAGCUUGCAUGUGUUGAAGCCCGGGGUGUGGGGGACUGUGGUCACGUACUCGAGGGGGCUUCAGAGACCUCUGGGAAGCCCUUUCUGCCCACUCGAAGCCUGCCCCUGUGCCUGACAAUCUUCCAUCGGGAGCGAUGUCAUAAAGAAGAAAUGGAAUUCAGUGGGAAGAGUGGUGGACUCGGGGACAAAAGAUCUGGGUUUGCGCCCUGGCUCUGACCUAACUCACCAGCAUUAUUGGAGGCACGUUAGGGCUUUCAGGAGGAUUUAUCUUCUGGGCCGGAUCCUGCCUAGGAAAGGCUCAUGCAUCCUUCCUACAAAAGAGGCACUGACACUUCUGAUUAAGGUAGGAUAAGCUGUCACUUGUUGGUAAAGUUUCUACCAGUCUCUAACCCAUUGAAGGAGAAUAUUUUGCUUUCUUCUCUCAGAUCUUGUGGAUGUGCUGUGGAAAUGGAGAACCUUAACCAUUGCAUAGAAUGGACUUGGGGCAAGUUCCUGAGCUAUAAGUUACAUAGCUCAGAAGUAGCAGAGCCAGGAUCCAACACCUGUUUUGCCAUACAUCAAAUGGGGACAAUAGAAGUAACUGAUAUUAACCUAGGGCUGAAAUAAGGUUCCCAUGAAAAGCAGCAUCCCAGUGAAGUCAAAGCCCUGGAACCAUCCUCUUCAUCUGUGUUGCUGCUGAGAGAUCAGAAGUCUACCUCUGGAGAUAGAAUCCUUGUCUGCUGCUGGGAUGGAGGGAAGUGCUAACAUUCCACUAGAAAGUGGGUUCUUCCAUGGAGGGACAGAAUUUGAUUCUUGCUGCUUAUACAAAGUAGGUGUUCACAAGGCACUUGUGAACAGCUAGCUCUGCAGAACAAGUCUCCAUCAUCUCGUUGCAGGCUGCUUACCUGCUGGGAGUGGCAUCCUGGGGCCUUCCUCUCUGGCCACCCUAGACUUUG
rnacentral:lncRNA from 1 species